UUAAGAGCAUAUGGCGGAUGCCUUGGUUCUACAUGGCGAUGAAAGACGUAGUAUGGCUGCGAUAAGCUUCGGGGAGGUGCCUAACAACCUUUGAUCCGGAGAUUUCUGAAUGGGGAAACCCAAUAGAGUAAACCUCUAUUAUCUUGGUCCGUAAGUGAUCAAGAUGCGCACCUCGGGAAGUGAAACAUCUCAGUACCGAGAGGAAAAGAAAACAAUAUAACGUAGUUAUAAUAUUCCCCCAGUAGCGGCGAGCGAAAAGGGAACAGCCCAAACCGGAGCAUCAUGAAGGAUAUGACAAAACGAUUUAUCGUCAGUUGUAUCCUUCAUGAUGCUCCGGGGUUGUAAGGCAGUGAGUCUCGUUUUACGAGAAAAGUUACAAAAUGUAUGUAUAGAAAAAGUUGUUGGAAACCAACACCAUAGUGGGUGAUAGUCCCGUAUUCGAAAUACAUAUAUCUUUUUAUCACUGUUCUUGAGUACUUCAAGACACGAAUAGCUUGAAGGAAUCCACCAGAACUAACUGGUAAGGCUAAAUACAUUGUAGAAACCGAUAGUGAACUAGUACCGUGAGGGAAAGGUGAAAAGUACUCCGAGAGGAGGGUGAAAUAGUACUGAAACCAUAUGCUUACAAGGAGUCGGAGCGGGUAUUUAUAUCCGUCACGGCGUGCCUAUUGAAGAAUGAGCCAACGAGUUUAUGUGUGCGGCUUGGCUAAGGAGUACAGCUCCGGAGCCACAGCGAAAGCAAGUGUUAAUAGCGCGUCUGCCCCUCGGGGCGGUCGUACACAUAAGACCCGAAGCCAGGUGAGCUAUCCAUGAGCAGGGUGAAGUUUGACGAAAGUCAGAUGGAGGCCCGAACCGGUAGAUCGUACAACGUCUUCGGAUGACUUGUGGAUUGGAGUGAAAAGCUAAUCGAACCUGGUAAUAGCUGGUUCUCUCCGAAAUAGCUUUAGGGUUAGCGUCAUGCGUUCCCAUGGGGGGUAGAGCACUGGAAAGUUUCGACAGGGAGCAAUCUCGCGACACUUAUCAAACUCCGAAUACCCAUGGUCAAGUAGCGUGGCAGUUAGUCUACGGGGGCUAAGCUCCGUUAGACAAAAGGGAAACAGCCCAGAUCUCUAAUUAAGGUCCCUAAAUAUAUACUAAGUACAUACUAAGGAUGUGAGAUUUCUCUGACAAUGAGGAAGUUGGCUUAGAAGCAGCCAUCUUUUAAAGAAAGCGUAACAGCUCACUCAUCAAGAGAUCUUGCGCCGCAGAUAAUCGGGGUUAAGUAUAUUACCGAAGUUGAGGGCUUGUAGAUUUUAUAAAGGAAGUAAAUAAAAAUAAUUAAUAAAAAAUGGUCCUGUAGCUCAGCGGUAGAGCAACUCUAUCACAGGAGAUGGUAUUGGGUUCGAACCCCAACUGGAUCACGAAUGGAAAUUAUUUUUUAUAUAAUUUCCUUCUUUUAUAAAAUCUACAAGCGGUAGGAGAGUAUUCUGCACUAGCUGUGAAGGUAAAGGCGUGAGCCAUACUGGAGCGUGCAGAAGUAAGAAUGUUGGCACAAGUAACCGCAAGCAGGGUGAGAUCCCCUGCCGUCGAAAGAUCAAGGUUUCCUGGGCAAUGGUGAUCAUCCCAGGGUUAGUCGGGUCCUAAGGUCAUGGCGAAAGCCGCAGUCGAUGGACAUAUGGUUAAUAUUCCAUAACUUCUUAUACAAUCGAAGGAGGGACGAAGUGUAGUACUGUGAGCCGGUAAUUGGAUUCCGGUAGACACGAAGAGCAGGGAGGAUAGGCAAAUCCGUUCUCCAUUACUGCCAAUUGUGGAUCGUGCAGAGGUUCGCCCGAGCGGAGUCACACGAGCACACUUCCAAGAAAAGCUUCUAAGAUUAUUGUAUGAGAACCCGUACCGCAAACCGACACAGGUGAUCAGGUCGAGUAGACCAAGACGAACGAGUGAGAGGUCCUCAAGGAACUCGGCAAAAAAGCAGCCGUAACUUCGGAAUAAGGCUUCCCCCCAGCACACAGCGUGUGCUGUGAGAAGUUAGUAGUAAUUAGUUAGUAGUUAGUAGGAGCUCAUAGUACGAGACCCACUUUCUACUUUCUACUUACUACUUACUCCUCGCACGCAAAUUGCGUGCUGGGGGGCGCAGCGAAAGUAUCUCUGGCAACUGUUUACCAAAAACACAGCUCCCUGCGAACUCGUAAGAGGAUGUAUAGGGGGUGACACCUGACCAAUGCCAGAAGGUUAAUUACGGGCGGUCCGCUUUCGCACUUUGAACACAAAGUGCUAUAGCGAGACGAGGUGCGAUUUUAUAUCAAGCCUCGCCUCGCCGAAGCAACCUUGCGAGCAAGGUGCGGAGGCGGGCUGACUUGUACAAGCCCUGGUGAAUGUCGGCCGUAACUAUAACGGUCCUAAGGUUGUACGUGCAAUUUAUUUGUGCGUACAAGGACUGGGACUGUUGUAGGUGUUUAGAUAAAUAGAGCCUUUAAAAAGUUAAUUACAUUCAUACGCUACCUAACGCACAGUAAUGUGUUAUUAGUCCAUUGUGGGUAUCAAGAGACCAACCCCACACACCCUAAUUUUCCGAAAAGAUAAUGGGUGAAGUAAGAGUCCUUCUGCAUAGGAAUAGAAGAGCGAAAUUCCUUGUCGGGUAAGUUCCGACGCGCACGAAUGGUGUAAUGACUGGAGAACUGUCUCGAGGACUUGCUCGGUGAAAAUACAAUACCGGUGAAGAUGCCGGUUACCUGCAGUUAGACGAAAAGACCCCGGAAGCUUUACUACAGCUUGGUAUUGGGUAUAUCUGUAUAUUUCGUAGCAUAGAGAGGAGACUUUGAAGCGUCGUUUUCGGACCACGUGGAGUCGUCAGUGAAAUACUCUUAUCUAUAUGUAUAUAUCCUAACCGGUGCGGCAAAAACGCACCGAGACAGUGCCUGGUGGGUAGUUUUACUGGGGCGGUAUCCUCCCAAAAAGUAACGGAGGAGUCCAAAGGUCAGCUAGGCGCGAAUGGAAACCGUGCCGAUAGUGCAAUGGCAUAAGCUGGCUUGACUGUGAGGGGGACAUCCCGAGCAGGUGCGAAAGCAGAGCAUAGUGAACCGACAAUUCGCAUUAGAUGCGGUUGAAGAUUAACGGAUAGAAGCUACUCCGGGGAUAACAGGCUAGUUCCGCCUAAGCGUCCAUAGCGACGGCGGAGUUCGGCACCUCGAUGUCGGCUCACCUUAUCCUGGGGGUGUAGAAGCUCCCAAAGGUUUGGCUGUUCGCCAAUUAAAAAGGUACGCGAGCUGGGUUCAGACCGUGAAGAGUUGGAAGGUAGAAAAUAGAAGAUAGAAAGUAGUUGAAAUGCAUUUAUUUGUGUUUUUCUACUCUCUACCCUCUACGCUCCACUUUCUGCUUUUCAUUGUCUGAAUCCCGAGGAAAUUUUUCAGCAUUUUUCAUUUAAAAAUGCACACAGAAUUAUUUCUGUUUUAGUCUUUUCGUUCUAAUAAAAGUAAAGUUCUCACAUCCGUCCAAAAUGGUGUGAGAAAGAAAGAUAAACCUAAACACACUGAGGUGUGUCGGUUAAAGAGAACCAUCUUAUUACGG
rnacentral:rRNA from 1 species